rnacentral:rRNA from 1 species
UACGUAGGUCCCGAGCGUUGUCCGGAUUUAUUGGGCGCAAAGCGAGCGCAGGUGGUUUAUUAAGUCUGGUGUAAAAGGCAGUGGCUCAACCAUUGUAUGCAUUGGAAACUGGUAGACUUGAGUGCAGGAGAGGAGAGUGGAAUUCCAUGUGUAGCGGUGAAAUGCGUAGAUAUAUGGAGGAACACCGGUGGCGAAAGCGGCUCUCUGGCCUGUAACUGACACUGAGGCUCGAAAGCGUGGGGAGCAAACAGG